UACGUAGGCAGCGAGCGUUGUUCGGAGUUACUGGGCGUAAAGCGUGCGCAGGCGGUUUUGUAAGCCAGAUGUGAAAUCCCCGGGCUUAACCUGGGAAUGGCAUUUGGGACUGCAAGGCUGGAGUUUGGCAGAGGAGACUGGAAUUCCUGGUGUAGCAGUGAAAUGCGUAGAUAUCAGGAGGAAUACCGAUGGCGAAGGCAGGUCUCUGGGCUAUAACUGACGCUCGUGCACGAAAGCGUGGGGAGCAAACAGG
rnacentral:rRNA from 1 species